AGGACGAACGCUGGCGGCGUGCUUAACACAUGCAAGUCGAGCGGUAAGGCCUUUCGGGGUACACGAGCGGCGAACGGGUGAGUAACACGUGGGUGGUCUGCCCUGCACUCUGGGAUAAGCCUGGGAAACUGGGUCUAAUACCGGAUAUGACCUGCUCUCGCAUGGGGGUGGGUGGAAAGAUUUAUCGGUGCAGGAUGGGCCCGCGGCCUAUCAGCUUGUUGGUGGGGUAAUGGCCUACCAAGGCGACGACGGGUAGCCGACCUGAGAGGGUGACCGGCCACACUGGGACUGAGACACGGCCCAGACUCCUACGGGAGGCAGCAGUGGGGAAUAUUGCACAAUGGGCGAAAGCCUGAUGCAGCGACGCCGCGUGAGGAUGAAGGCCUUCGGGUUGUAAACCUCUUUCAGCAGGGACGAAGCGCAAGUGACGGUACCUGCAGAAGAAGCACCGGCUAACCUACGUGCCAGCAGCCGC
rnacentral:rRNA from 1 species